GGUAAUAUUCAGUAUAGCAGUUUGUCGUCGUUUUGGAGCAGAUUUCCUCACUUUUUGGCACUUGCCUCCUACUUGAGUAAGAGGGGGAUAUAGCCAUGAAAGGAAUAAAAUCUCAUCAUUUUGUAGUUUAAAUCCGUGUAAUUAAGAAAAAAACGUGAGUGUCGAAUUAAAAAUUGUGUUUUAUUCUGAGUGAUAUAUGUGUGUUCAAACACUGUAUCUAGCGACCUGCCAAUAUAAGCUUGGUGUUUACGCAAAAUAAUUCGAUUAGAAUUGAACGCCAGAAUUAUUCGGUAAAGGGUCAUCAUGAAUUCAAUAUUUAAUUGGUUACUAGAUUCGGCUGUUUAGUAUUGCCAUUUAGUAAGAAACGAAACAUAUAUUGCAUACAAUCGACAAGUAAUACAGGGGGAAAGUAAUCUAAAUGAUACUUCAAUGAUUUCGGAACUUAACAUAAAUUCGGAGGAUUAUCAUAUGAUUUGUGAUUUCCAAAGGAGGAAACACUUGAAAUUAUCCACAAAAUAACUUCAUAAAUAUUAAAGGGAUAGGUGAAAUGGAGUAUUUAUUUAUUCCACGUACAGUGAUACAUAAUGCUUGGGCUAUUUGGAUUAAAAUGAGCUUUUUUAGCGGCAAUUGAUGAAGGAAAUGGUUUCCUCGCUGUGCCACCAACAUCGUUAACUCUUCAGCAAGACCUGCCGGCUGAAAAUCACGAGGUUCUCAAAAGGUUGAAAAUGUUGAAUCCCAAAAUGAUUUAUUAGUAUCCAGCUCUGAUACACAAGUUUCAAACUUGGUGCCUACACCAAUCGAAUCGAAUAUCAACUUUCCUGCACCAUUUCGGCACAGAACCCAGCAAACAACUCAAAAGAGAUCUUCAUCAAACCCAGUAUUGAAGCAACAAGGCACGUCGCAAGAUGGUGGUUCAUCUAGAGGUCAGCGAGAUUUUCGGGGAAUUCGUGAUGAUACUGAAGAUUCCAGAUGCUCAAUGACUUCUGGGCGCGAGAGUUCCAGCUCCAUCAUUGUGCCAGUCAACAUCACAAAGACCAAAUUCUAGGAGGAAGAAAAGCGACACAACGGCAUUGGAAACCACUUUAAUUUUCUUAUGACAGACAGCACAUCAAAGUCUGCAGAAUGAUAAUGCAAACCCUCAAGUCGCUGAAGACACAGGCGGCAGAUUGGCAAAAUUGAUAGUAGAAGAACUAAAUAAACUUCCACCUAAAGAACAGAGGAAGAGACGGCUCGCUAUGAUUUAAAUUUUAUAUGCACCAUAUCCUUGAUCCACACAUCUAACCAAAGUAUUUAACCAAAAGUGCCUAAUAAUUAAUUUUAAUCAUCAACUAUGAAAAAAGAAUUAUCGACUCAUUUGUACCACUUAGAUAUUCUCUCUGGCAUGGACGACAUCCAGUUAUUCUUAAAUAUUAAAUACUAAUUUUUUUUACUUUUUUUCCUAUAGGUUAUUAUCAACAAUUUAUGUUAAGUAAACAUAAAUGACACAUGAGCAAACAUUCGAUUAAUCAUAGCCAGUGAAUUGUGAAAUUUCCUCCAUAAUAAGUCCUUUCAGUGUAAAAUGUGAAGAGGAAAAUAUGGCUGCUUAAAUUUUGAAACGAAAUCACUUAUUAGCCAGAAAAUUGAAUAAUUUAUGCGUGGCAAAAUUACUCGGGCUGCAUGUGACAACUUCUAUCCAUGCUUAACUACGCAAUCGUCUUGAUAAUGAAU